AUUGAACGCUGGCGGCAGGCCUAACACAUGCAAGUCGAGCGGAACGGCGGACGAGGGAGGAAUGCCGAGGAAGCAGCCUGGGAGUGACGGAUAAAGUCCGGAAACGGGCGCUAAUGCCGCAGGCUAUCAGAGGAGCCUAGGGCGGAUUAGCUGGUUGGUGGGGUGACGGCCUACCAAGUCGACGAUCCGUAACGGGCCUGAGAGGAUGAUCAGUCACACUGGGACGGAGACACGGCCCAGACUCCUACGGGAGGCAGCAGAGGUGAAUCUUGGCCAAUGGGCGAAAGUCUGAUCCAGCAAUGCCGCGUGUGUGAAGAAGGUUUUCGGAUUGUAAAGCGCUGUUAGUUGUGAAGCGUUACCAAACGAAUAAGCCCCGGCUAACUUCGUGCCAGCCGCCGCGGUAAUUC
rnacentral:rRNA from 1 species